CAGAUUGAACGCUGGCGGCAGGCCUAAUACAUGCAAGUCGAACGGUAACAUAGGAAAAGCUUGCUUUCCUGAUGACGAGUGGCGGACGGGUGAGUAAAGUUGGGAAGCUACCUGAUAGAGGGGGACAACAGUUGGAAACGACUGCUAAUACCGCAUACAGCCUGAGGGUGAAAGCAGCAAUGCGCUAUCAGAUGCGCCCAAGUGGGAUUAGCUAGUAGGUGAGGUAAAGGCUCACCUAGGCGACGAUCUCUAGCUGGUCUGAGAGGAUGAUCAGCCACAUUGGGACUGAGACACGGCCCAGACUCCUACGGGAGGCAGCAGUAGGGAAUAUUGCACAAUGGAGGAAACUCUGAUGCAGCCAUGCCGCGUGUGUGAAGAAGGCCUUCGGGUUGUAAAGCACUUUCGGAGGGGAGGAGAAUGACGUUACCCUCAGAAGAAGCACCGGCUAACUCCGUGCCAGCAGCCGC
rnacentral:rRNA from 1 species